rnacentral:rRNA from 1 species
AGCGAACGCUGGCGGCAGGCUUAACACAUGCAAGUCGAACGGGCGUAGCAAUACGUCAGUGGCAGACGGGUGAGUAACGCGUGGGAACGUACCUUUUGGUUCGGAACAACCCAGGGAAACUUGGGUUAAUACCGGAUAAGCCCUUACGGGGAAAGAUUUAUCGCCGAAAGAUCGGCCCGCGUCUGAUUAGCUAGUUGGUGUGGUAACGGCGCACCAAGGCGACGAUCAGUAGCUGGUCUGAGAGGAUGAUCAGCCACAUUGGGACUGAGACACGGCCCAAACUCCUACGGGAGGCAGCAGUGGGGAAUAUUGGACAAUGGGCGCAAGCCUGAUCCAGCCAUGCCGCGUGAGUGAUGAAGGCCCUAGGGUUGUAAAAGCUCUUUUGUGCGGGAAGAUAAUGACGGUACCGCAAGAAUAAGCCCCGGCUAACUUCGUGCCAGCAGCCGCCGCUGUAAU